AUUCUAGACAGAGUGAGCUCUGAGUCAGGUUAAAUUAAAACAAGCCCUGUGAGUGGAGGCUUUUAGGGAACUUCCAGACAGGUCAAUAGUGACAAUUCCCUGGGGAUAGAGUGCUGGGGGAAUUCUGAACUCAUUGUGCCUCUUCCGGUGGCUGCUAGGCUGCUUGUUUUCCUGGUAACUGUGAUCGUGAAGCUUUUGGUUUUUAAGGUUUUCACAGAGCUGUGGAGAGGAGAUGCCUCUAGAGCAAGUUAAGAUGCAACAAAACUCACUAUUCUUAACAAGAUUCAGCUUUUUUUUUUUUUUUUUGAAUAGACGCUCCUCAAAUCGUUGCAAACCUUUAGUUAACUUCUAGAGUCCUGAAAAAAUUGUCACCAUUUUUGCCAGUGUUCUUAUUGCUUUUAUGGGGGAGUGGAUUUUUGGAGGUCUUUACUCCAUAAUUCUGGAAGUCGAUCCAGAUUAGGAAUUUUUAAUCCUAACAUUCUAUAAUUCUAAGCUCUGAGAUUCUUGUUUAUAUAAUUGGGAGGAGAAAACAACCACUUCUGCUUUAUCACCAAUAUGAGUAAUACUAAGAGGAAGAUCGUGAAGUACCCUAGGUGUCAGAGGAAACCUCUGCAAACAUAGGUCAUUAUCCCUUUGCAGAAUAUUCAGUUUAUCAAGGAGAACAUGCUAUAAUACUAUAUUUAUUUACCAUGUAGAAGUCACCCACUCCUACAGAGCUUUCAAGAAAAAAAAA